rnacentral:rRNA from 1 species
UACGUAGGGUGCGAGCGUUGUCCGGAAUUAUUGGGCGUAAAGGGCUCGUAGGCGGUCUGUUGCGUCGGGAGUGAAAACUCAGGGCUUAACCCUGAGCCUGCUUCCGAUACGGGCAGACUAGAGGUAUGCAGGGGAGAACGGAGUUCCUGGUGUAGCGGUGAAAUGCGCAGAUAUCAGGAGGAACACCGGUGGCGAAGGCGGUUCUCUGGGCAUUACCUGACGCUGAUGCGCGAAAGCUAGGGGAGCAAACAGG